GAGUUUGAUCCUGGCUCAGGAUUAACGCUAGCGGCAGGCCUAACACAUGCAAGUCGAGGGGCAGCGCGGGGAGCAAUCCCUGGCGGCGACCGGCGGACGGGUGCGCAACGCGUGAGCAACCUACCUUAAGCUGGGGUAUAUCCCGAAGAAAUUCGGACUAACACCGCAUGUUUUGCAGGUGCGGCAUCGCACUUGCAGCAAAUAUUUAUAGGCUUAAGAUGGGCUCGCGUCCCAUUAGCUGGUUGGUAGUGUAACGGACUACCAAGGCUACGAUGGGUAGGGGUUCUGAGAGGAUUCACCCCCACACCGGAACUGAGACACGGUCCGGACUCCUACGGGAGGCAGCAGUGAGGAAUAUUGGACAAUGGGCGGAAGCCUGAUCCAGCCAUGCCGCGUGCAGGAUGACGGCGCUACGCGUUGUAAACUGCUUUUGUUCGGGAGCAAUAGCAUCCACGUGUGGGUGUUUGAGAGUACCGUUCGAAUCAGCACCGGCUAACUCCGUGCCAGCAGCCGCGGUAAUACGGAGGGUGCAAGCGUUAU
rnacentral:rRNA from 1 species